rnacentral:tRNA from 1 species
GUCCUUGUAGCUCAGCAGGAUAGAGCAAUUUCCUCCUAAGAAAUAGGUCGGGCGUUCGAAUCGCCCCAAGGACGCCA